rnacentral:rRNA from 1 species
CUCAGGGAGGUAGUGACAAGAAAUAACAACACUGGAAAUUUUAUUUCUAGUGAUUGGAAUGAUGAGAAUUUAAACCCCUUUCAGAGUAACAAUUGGAGGGCAAGUCUGGUGCCAGCAGCCGCGGUAAUUCCAGCUCCAAUAGCGUAUAUUAAAGUUGUUGCAGUUAAAAAGCUCGUAGUUGGAUGUCUGCUGGAAGCAAUCAGUCCGCCCUAUUUGUAGGGUGUGCACUUGAUGAAUUCUGGCAUCUAUGUCCUAAUGUGAUAGAUACGGCGGUGUAUAUGGGUUAAUCCUAUAUACCCGUUUUUGUAUAUUAUAUUGGGAUAAUACCGUUACUUUGAGAAAAUUAGAGUGUUUGAAGCAGGCUAAUUGCCUUGAAUACUGCAGCAUGGAAUAACAAUAUAGGAUUUCGGUUCUAUUUUGUUGGUUUCUAGGACUGAAAUAAUGAUUAAUAGGGACAGUUGGGGGCAUUCGUAUUUAACUGUCAGAGGUGAAAUUCUUAGAUUUGUUAAAGACGAACUACUGCGAAAGCAUUUGCCAAAGAUGUUUUCAUUAAUCAAGAACGAAAGUUAGGGGCUCGAAGACGAUCAGAUACCGUCGUGGUCUUAACCAUAAACUAUGCCGACUAGAGAUAGGAAAAUGUCAUUUUUCUGACUU